rnacentral:rRNA from 1 species
AAGGUGGGAUGACGUCAAAUCAUCAUGCCCCUUAUGAUUUGGGCUACACACGUGCUACAAUGGCGUUAAACAAAGGGAAGCGAAAGGGUGACCUGGAGCAAAUCUCAGAAAUAACGUCUCAGUUCGGAUUGUAGUCUGCAACUUCGACUACCAUGAAGCUGGAACUCGCUAGUAAUCGCGAACUCAGGCUAUGUCGCGGUAGAAUAACGUUCCCGGGUACUUGUACCACACCGCCCGUCACACCAUGGGAGUUGAUAUGCCCGAAGUCGUGACCCGUAACCGGUAAGGGAGGGAGCCGCCGAAGGUCGGAGUCCUAAGUAACGUGGGGUAGAAGUCGUAACGUAAGGUAGUCCCGUAGUCGGAAGGUCGCGGCUGGAUCA